CAUACCCACAACAGCCUGAUCUGCAAAUCAACAGUGUAAAGAGCUCAAAUCCAGAGGCUGAAGGCUUAUUGUGUUGACUUUCUCAUCCUAGAGGUCACUGAAUGCAGAACUUGGGAACUUCUGGACUUCCUAUGCAACAGCUUGCUUAAACCUGGAAGGGACCCCUGGCUGGGAAUAGUCACAUUUAUCAAAUGUAAAUGGCAUGGGGAAAAUCUGAUUGCCACAGACAGAAGAAUGAAACUGGAUGCCUAUUUCUCACAAUACACAAAAGCGAUUCAAGAUUAAAGACUUAACUAUACCUUGACUAUGAAUAAUAGUUUCAAUAAGGAAGACAGAAUGAGUUCUGACACGAUGGUUGGGAGCUGUGACAGGCAGACGAAAAAUGGAGCCAAAUGGCAUGGAGGUGUGUCAUCACUGCUGGAUUUUACCUUGAUCUACAUUCAGUUAUCUACUUCUUUUCAAAAUGCUGGGCAUUCAUUCAAGAAACAGCAUAUAUGUUCUGACUUUGAAGUAAUGGAUGAACUGUCAUGUGCAGUAUAUGGAAAUAAGUUUUAUUACCUUCUUCCCACAUUAACUCAUCCAUCCAUUCAAUAGCCAUUUAUUGAGAAGCUCACUCUGUGUUAGGCACAGUGGUGUCAUGAUGUUGGAACAGUAACAAUAACUCAACCAACCAGGGCUUGUCUGAAUACAAUCCUACAGCAGCAGGAGCUGUGGAGAUAUAGAAGGCAAGGAAGACCAGGUUGUGAGGGAAGACGAAUUUACUCCCAGGAAUGUUGGGAUUGAGAGUAAUAUUCUCCAAUAAUGGUGGAAGACAGAACAAUAAAAGCCCACCAGCUCCUUCUGCAUGGUGGGAUAAGAGAAAAGCCAAGGGCAGAAGUGAGAAAAAUAACCAUCACCAAACUGAAAAGAAAACCUUUAUAAAAAAACUGGAUUGAUAAAUGACCUUUAGUAGUGGAAAGAUACCAUUCCAAUGAAGCAUGAAUUGAAAGGAUUUCUUCUGAAAGCUAAUUUACAUUUUUCUUUUUUUUUUUUUCAUUUUCAGUGUGUUUUAGCAGGUGUAUUGUUCUACAUGGUUAGUUUCUUUACCUCUUUGAGAAAAAUGGGUCAGCUUGACACAUCUGGAUGAAAGAAUCCGUUAGGUGAUUAUGAUUGAAGACAGAUUAAGCCUUGUUAUGAGGGGAAUAUUUGGGGGCUUACCCUGAGGUGAUAUUUGAUGAUUUAGCUGUGGGAGAAUUUCCCUCCCAAGAUCAGCGUGACUGACACUGAAAUUGCUACAGGGGAACCGGACCUUUCCAAGAGGUGACAAGGACAUUUACCUGGUACAACACAAUGGUUCUGGACUGGAAGUCUAGUCCCAUUGAUGAAGUUCCCAAAAGAUGUCCAGGUCCUAAUCCCUGGAAUCUGUGAAUAUGUCAUCUUACACAUCAAAAGAACUUUGAAAAUGUGAUUGAGGUUAAGGACCUUGGAAUGAGGAGAUUACCUUGGAUUAUCUGGUUGGGUCCAAGCUAAUCACAUGAGUCCUUAAAGGAGAAGAACCUUUUUUAGCUGGGUCAGAGAGAGAUGUGAUGAUGAAAACAGGCUCAGGGAGAUGCACUGUAAGAAGGGCUUGACCAGUUGUUUUUGACUUUGAAGAUGGAGGGAAGGGCCAGGAGCCAAGGAAGGUGGGUGGCUUUUGGAAGGUGGAAAAAGCAAGGGAACAUUCUCUCCAGAGCCUCCAGAAAGGAGCUCAGCCCUGUUGACAUCUUUGUUUUUAUUUUUUAUUUUUAGUAGCAUUGAGGUCUCACUAUGUUGCACAGGCUGGUCUUGAACUCUUGAGCUCAAGCACUCCUCCCGCCUUGGCUUCCCAAAGUGCUGGGAUUAUAGGCAUGUGCCACCACAUCUGGCUUCCUACUGACAUCUUAACUUUAGUGCAGUGAGACUCAUAUUUGAAUUUCUGACCUUAUAUUAUAGAACCAUAAGACAUUAUAGAAUUAUAUAGAAUUAUAGAACCAUAAGACAAUAACUUUGUGUUGUUUUAAGAUACUAAAUUUUUGGUAAUUUGUUAUGGCAGCACAAUAAAACCAAUAUAGCAUUAUAUUAUGCCAAUAUCAUCUCUUUGUUGACUAUUGCUAUUAUAGUUUGUUUUAUGGGUCUUGUGUAAACAAUCAAGCUAUAAUAUUGGGUUAACUCCCUAAGGAAAACUUGGAAUAUAGAACAUUAUUUUAAAGACUGAAUUAGGUAAAUACACCUGCCAGUGAAUACAUUAACAAAUUAAUUAAUAUAUUCACUCUUUUCACUCACAAAUACUUUUUGAGCCCCUAUUACUAGCCAAACAUUUUGUUAGAUUCUGAGAAGGGUCUGCUAGACAACAUUGUGACUAUAGUUAAUAACAAUAUAUUGUACUCUUGAAAAUUACUAAGAGAGUAGAUUUUAAGUGUUCUCACCACAAAAAAUAAGUAUGUGAGGUAAUGCAGAUGUUAGUUAGCUUGAUUUAGCCAUUCCCCAGUGUAUACAUAUUUCAAACCUUCAUAUUAUACAUGGAUAAAUAUAUACAAUUUUUAUUUGUCAAUUAAAAGCCCCUCGAUGAAUACAGUUUCCAUUCUGUCCUUGAGGUGGAGCUUGUAGACUUGGUGGGGUCCGGGGAUCAACUUUUAAACAGGCAGUUCCAAAGUGUGGAGUGGAUAGGCUUAUUCUCUUUGUUGCUUUUAUGAUAGGUAUUUAGAAUGCACUUUCCUCUGUUAAGUUAAGCCAGCCACCAUUCCCUCAUUCAGUUUCCAUCCUCCAUGAAUUUGCUCACAUCUGCGGUCUACUGUCACUCAUUCUUUCCUUCUCUUCCUGAGGGCUUGUGUGACUUAUGUUCUUGGCUUUCUCUUAGGAACAUGGUGCAGCUUGGCCCUGCAUUAUCCAUCUGGAAAAACAGAUCAUAAAACAGUCCUUCUCUGUACUAAGUGCUAAAGUAGGAGGAAGGGCAUAAGUCAGCUCCCUGAGCUAUAUAUCCUUGUUUUCAGGAGCUGAGCUAGACACAAGCAGAACUUGCAAAUAAUUUACAUUUCUUUCUGCUGAGGUGGUUCAGAAUAAGUUGCAACAAACAUGAACAGGAAUGGUGCAGUAAAU
rnacentral:lncRNA from 10 species